rnacentral:misc_RNA from 1 species
GGGUUCUGUCCGCGAAGGGAAUUUUCCGUUAGCGUUUUGCUGCUGCUGUGGCUGUUGCUGUUGCUGUUGCGGUUGCGGUUGCUGUUGUUGUUGCUGUUGCGGUUGCUGCUGCUGUUGCUGCUGCUGUUGAUGAUGCUGUUGAUUUUGAUGUUGCUGUUGAUUUUGAUGUUGCUGUUGAUUUUGAUGUUGCAGUUGUUGUUGCUGUUGCUGUUGCUGUUGCUGCUGCUGUUGCAGUUGUGGUUGCUGUUGCUGUUGCGGUUGCUGUUGUUGUUGUUGUUGUUGCUGCUGAUGUUGAUGUUGUUGAUGAUGUUGAUGUUGGUGUUGGUGUUGAUGAUGAUGGUGUUGCUGGUGCUGCUGAAGUUGUUGGUGGUGUUGUUGUUGUUGCUGUUGAUGUUGGUGUUGAUGUUGAGGGUGGAGAACCCGAGAUUGUGAAUUUUGAUUAUCUUGCGGCGAAGGUAGCAUGUGACUU